rnacentral:lncRNA from 10 species
GAGACAGACUCUUGCUCUGUCGCCCAGCCUGGAGUGCAGUGGCACGAUCUCGGCUCACUACAACUUCCGCCUCCCAGAUUCAAGCGAUUCUCCUGCGUCAGCCUCCUGAGUACCUGGGAUUACAUGCGCGCGCCACCACGCCCGGCUAAUUUUUGUAUUUUUAGUAGAGACGGGGUUUCACCAUGUUCAGGCUGGUCUCGAACUCCUGACCUCAUGAUCCAUCCGCUUUGGCCUCCCAAAGUGCUGGGAUUACAGGCGUGAGCCACCGCGCCUAGCCAUAGAGUUUUCUUAAUCAGGUUAUCUAUUAACUUACAGCGAUUACUUAAGUCAUUGUAAGAACAGCAUUAAAAACACAAAAACACAUCCUUAUACAUUUAUAUAGGGUACAAAAAAGUACAUCUCUACCAUCUUAACACUAAAUACUUCUCUAUCUUCAUUUCUGGUUACUUUCCUGCUUCACACUCUACACUAGCUAUGUUGAUGUCUGAGUUCCUGAACAUUCCAUGCUCUCACGUCCAGCUUAUACAUCUAUGACUCCCUCACCCAUAACUUAAGCAACUCCUUUUCAUCCUUCAAGUCUUCACAUAGAUUCUACUAUUCUCAGAGAAGCCUUCUCUGGCCCUUUAUCUAUCCUAUCAGAGUAGAUAUCAUGUACAAUUAUAACUGACUAUUAUAAUUUUCUGUCUGUCUCCCUCCAUCAUAUAGUGAGAGCCAAGAGGAAAAGAAUCAUAUUCAUUGUGUACACCCUUGUAUCCCUAGGGCCUAGCACAGUGCAUAACCCAUGGAGGUGUUUAAUAUAAAGUAGUUGAAUGGGCCAGGUGAGGUGGCUCACACCUGUAAUCCUAGCACUUUGGGAUGCUGAGGCAGAUGGAUCACUUGAGGUCAGGAGUUCGAGACCAGCCUGGCCAACAUGGUGAAACCCUGUCUCUACUAAAAAUACAAAAAAUUAGCUGGGCACAGUGGCGCACACCUAUAAUCCCAGCUACUCAGGAGCUUGAGGCAGGAGAAUUGCUUGAACCUGGGAAGUGGAGGUUGCAGUGAGCCGAGAUCACACCACUGCACUCCAGCCUGGGUGACAAAGCGAGACUCUGUCUCAAACAAAAAAAAAGUAAUUGAAUGAAUGAAAAAAAUCCUGUUACCUAAAAAUUUUUUAAAAUAGUUUUUUUUUGUUGUUUUUGAGACAGGGUUUCACUCUGUCACCCUGGCUGGAGUGCACCUGGGCAACAGAGCAAGACUCUGUCUCGGAAAAAAAAAAAAAAAAGACUUAAUCAACUUCCUCUAGAUAAAUUAAUUUUUAUCAGAUUUAUCGAUGGUGGGAGCCUAGGAAGGAGAAAGUACACAUUUACACUUCUCUAUUUCCCACAUUGUGUAAAAUAUUCAAAGGUAAGGACAGGUGGUCUCAUUCUGCUGUGCUUCUCCCAUGGCAUCUACUGUGACAUCUGACAUAAUUAUUUGCAUAAAUACUGUCUUAAGAGAUCAAUAUUGACUCUAUUUUGAGUUACUGCCAUGUCUACCCCAAAUAGCAAAAUAUAUGGAUAAAAAUAAAAAUAUUCAGUUGGUUACUGCGAUUCAAUCCAAAUAUUGAGCUAACAUUAGAAGUGACUAUACAAAAUCUGGAAGAAAAUAAAGAUGGAUAAGACAUGGCACCUGUCUCUAUGGGCCUCAGAAUUUAUUGGGAAAGACAGAUUGACAAACUAUUCACAACAAUUUGGCACAAAUCAGUCUAUGUAAGUGCUAUGGAAUAAAAGUGUGAAACACUAAACAGAAGCACUUUUUAAAAAAAAAAAAAAAUCAAAGUCCUUUUAAAUCUGAGUCUAGUUUCUUUCUCUCCACAGUCUUUGACCAGCAAUGUGCUUAGGGAUCUCAGGAUCAGAAGCCAGACCAGCCAGAAUCCUCAGUACUCAAGAGCUUUAAGACCUUAUGCCAGAGCCCAAUGUUACUCCAAAACCUUGGCAAGAAAGGUGCACUGAGAUUUCAAACUCCGGAAUCUAUCUCUACCCUUUGUCUGAUUGGGAAGUGCUUUGAGACUGCAAGCCUAGGUUCUUUGCCUGCUUCUUUCCAGGACCUCACAUGUCCCAAUUUGCCUGGGAUAGUGUCAAUUUAAACCAUUUGUCUUGGUGUUUAAAUGUUAUGAUAGUCUGUUUCUCUCAAAUUUGGAUAAAAAACUAUGUAGUCACCUUACUGAUGAACAAAGUGCUGUGCAGACUUAACCCAGGAUUCUAUUUACCCACAAUUGCUAAGUAAUAAAUUAUUCUAAAAUCUUAGUAUCAGGUUUUUUUUUUUUCUAUUCACAUACUCCUAUCACUAAAACAGUAUUUGUGUGCAAAAGCCAUUAUCUUGAGAUGUGGCCAUAGUUGAACAUUAGCU